UUGAGACAAAGUUCUGAGACACUCUGACUCUGAGUAUGAUAGAAGUCAGUGCACUACAGAACUUUGUCUCUAG
rfam:Rattus norvegicus chromosome 4, whole genome shotgun sequence.